rnacentral:rRNA from 1 species
CAAAAACAUCGCCUCUUGAGUAAAAAUAAGAGGUCCAGCCUGCCCAGUGACAAAUGUUCAACGGCCGCGGUAUCCUAACCGUGCGAAGGUAGCGUAAUCACUUGUUCUUUAAAUGAGGACUAGUAUGAAUGGCACCACGAGGGUUGCACUGUCUCCUUCCCCUAAUCAAUGAAACUAAUCUUCCCGUGAAGAAGCGGGAAUUUAUUUAUAAGACGAGAAGACCCUAUGGAGCUUUAAAUUUCUCUUCAAACGCCAGACAUAAACCCUAAACGUCUUACACCAACCCGGCGCCAUGAAGAUGAAUUUUAGGUUGGGGUGACCACGGAGAACAAGACAACCUCCAUGCUGAAUAGGCCUAAAACCUUGAACUAAGGACCACAGCCCGACGAACUAAAAAAUUAACACCCAUUGACCCAAUUCUUUUUGAUCAACGAACCAAGUUACCCUAGGGAUAACAGCGCAAUCUACUUCAAGAGUCCUUAUCGACAAGUGGGUUUACGACCUCGAUGUUGGAUCAGGGUACCCCAGUGGUGCAGCCGCUACUAAAGGUUCGUUUGUUCAACGAUUAAAACCCU